CAUGUGAGGCUGUCAGGAAACUAUUGUUCCGGUCUUCUUGAAGUUUAUUACUUUGGUGGCUGGACUGGUGUCUGUCAUCAACAUUUCAGCCUCACCAACGCUGAGGUCAUCUGCAGGGAGCUGCGAUGUGGCCGAGCACUUAGCGUUGUGGAAGACUACUCCAGUGCCAUCUACCCUUAUCUGAGUGAUGUGUUCUGUACUGGCAGUGAAGACUUCUUGUGGCAAUGUUCAUUUCGAGAAGGAGGCUGCAGGAACAACGCAAGCGUUAGGGUCACAUGUGCAGAAUCUGGACUGUUGAGACCAACAGACGUUUAUGUAACAGGUAAUAUUAAAC